GAGUGAACGCUAGCGACGAGGCUAACACAUGCAAGUCGAGGGGCAGCGGGGAGGUAGCGAAUAACGUCUGCCGGCGACCGGCGCACGGGUGAGUGACGCGUAUGCAACUUACCUAUCAGAGGAGAAUAGCUCAUCGAAAGAUGAAUUAAUGCUCCAUAAAACAGGGGUCCCGCAUGGGAAUAUUUGUUAAAGAUUUAUCGCUGAUAGAUAGGCAUGCGUUCCAUUAGGCAGUUGGCGGGGUAACGGCCCACCAAACCGACGAUGGAUAGGGGUUCUGAGAGGAAGGUCCCCCACAUUGGUACUGAGACACGGACCAA
rnacentral:rRNA from 1 species